rnacentral:rRNA from 1 species
UACGGAGGGGGCUAGCGUUGUUCGGAAUUACUGGGCGUAAAGCGCACGUAGGCGGCUUUGCAAGUUAGAGGUGAAAGCCCGGGGCUCAACUCCGGAAUUGCCUUUAAAACUGCAUCGCUAGAAUUGUGGAGAGGUAAGUGGAAUUCCGAGUGUAGAGGUGAAAUUCGUAGAUAUUCGCAAGAACACCCGUGGCGAAGGCGGCUCUCUGGUACGUGACUGACGCUGAGACGCGAAAGCGUGGGGAGCAAACAGG